UAAUGAGGUAGAGGCGCAAAGCGAAUGAGUAAACUGUGGAGCUUGGGAAGCAUUGAAGCAGUUAGAAAGGUCAAUUUGCCGAAGUUAAGAAUUAGCCCCCCUUAAUUCUUUGCUGGGUCGUUGUUGAAUAAAUAACGGACUGUCACUGCACUGCAGUGGAGGACUACUUUAAUA
rnacentral:ncRNA from 2 species